UCGGCGAGGCCGGAGAUCUCCGAGGCCCCCAACCUGGGACUGACCUCCUGUGGGGCGAGCGAGGGCUCAGCAAAUGGAAUUUUGCGUGGCCUUCCUCUCUUUCCUCGUGCCUAAAAUUUCUGGAGGAAAGAGCCAAAACUGAAAGGAACCAUCAUGUUUCUGCUCCGUGAGGAUGGGGAACCAGCGGAAACGAGGGCCAGGAGCCAGACAAUCACCCUGGAGGUGCAGGAAGGGACAUGUGCACUUCCCUGGGACCACCUCGCCAGUGUCACCCAUCAUUAGCGGCCACCAGCUGCCCCAUGCCCUCGCGGAUGUAGACAGACUGGAUCUCCUUGGUCUUGAGGCAGAGAUCACAGGCCCAGACAGCAGAGGCCUCAGUGGUCAGCAGCCCAUAGGCGCUCUCAGUCAUGCCUGUGCACUCGCGAUGGAACCACUUCUGGCAGGAGGCCUCACACAAGAUAGCAUCCUGGUCGUCAUUCACCUCGCUCCGACAGGCACCACAUGGGUACACCAGGCCUGGGGGAGGCUGGGGCCCUGAACCCCCACCUGCCUUGCCAGGGGGUGCUAGGCUGUUGGCAUCCGGAGUGCCGCCACCCCGCCCACUGCUGUUUGGGGGAAAACUGGGCUGAUUCCCAUUAACAGCAGCAGCUGGCGAGCCCGAGUGGGGCUCCUGGGGAAAAGCAGUGGGAGCAGGUGGAUUCAAGGGCUUCCCCCCAUCCUCACCACCAGGGCCAGGAAAGCCGGGGUCUGGGCCAGGGAAGGGACUUGUGUUGGGGGGCAGGCUGGGGAGCCCCUGACCAGGUCUCUGUAGAGGAGAAGGGCCAAAAGGCACACCUGGCUGAGCAAAACGCUGGGGGAGAGAAGGAGGGCCCAGCUCCCCUCUGGGAGGCUGUCCCAUGGUGGGUGAGAUCAUGGGGCCAAAUCCCCCCACUGGCAUCAUCUGCCCACCUGGAGGGCUGAAGUUUUGACCCAGAGGCUGGCUGAAGGGUUGACUGGGAAAGUUCAUGUUGCCUGGGGGUGGGUAGCCAGGGCCCUGGGGGGGCAUGUUGAAAGCAGGUCCCAUAGGAUUAGGAGGAAAAGGGGGGGGUUGUCGGCGAAGUGUCUGGGGACCCCCUCCACCCCCGGUGCCAUAGCCUGGGGGCACCUGGCCUGCCAUGCCCCCUUGUACACGGAAGCUUCCAAAGGGCACAGGACUGCCAAGGAAUGGAGGGGCUGCGCCCCCCACCUUAGGGGCUCCGAAGUCAUCCUCAAAAGGGUUGGAUGCAACCAGGUGAUCCACCAUGGGAGUCGGGGGUGGUGCAAACUCCGUCAGAUGUGAGUAAGCAGGACCCUAGUGGAGAGCAGAUGAGGAAAAGGGUCAUGAAGGGACACACAGAGAUAAACCAGGAGAGUCCUACCAACAAACAGAACACACACUUUGGAGAUUGAUACUGAUCAACAGCUCAGGUCUAAAAUAAAGAUGCGCCUUAGCAUGCAACUGAAAAACACAGGGUAGUGAGCAGAGCCAUCACAGCACCAUGACUGCUUUGAAAGAGAGCAGAAAUCCCAGCUUUGGCCCUGAAGUAGGUAUUUAACUUUUUUUAAGCCUCAGAUUUCUUAUCUGUAAAAAAAAAAAAAAAGACAAUGCCUACCUCCCCAAACAAAAAAAUGUACUUCAGCACAAUCCUGGCAUUUAGAAAAGACUGAUAGUGAUGGAAUUUAUGUUAUCAUCAUCCAGGACAGGAAAAAUGAGGGAGAGGAAGGUUGUGACCCUGUCCAAUAAGACCUUUGAUCAAAUCAUUCUUGGGGGAGAAUAUUUCCCAUGGAGUUUAUUAUAAGGUUGAGAGAAAGGACCAGAAACAGAACAAGACAGUUUUCUCUUCUCCCUGCACCUAACAGAAGACCAAACAUGGCAACAGAAUAGACACAGCACCCCAGGGGUUGCUGAAAUUACCCACCAACAAUGGUAAUUCACCUGAGUAUUUGACUUUCUUCGCUUCUUUUCUGGGCUCUUCAUUUGCAGACCUGAAAGAGCAGCAAAAGAAGAGGCAAGCAAGUUUCCCUAAGGUUUUUCAAACUUUCUUCCUCCCAGGAACUGCUCUAAUGUUAAUUCAGCAUAUACUCGUUUAUUUUAACAAAUAUCAAUGAGGAGUCAUAUGAAAAUGAAUUCUAUGACCAUACUCUUGAAAGACAUGCCAGGUCUUGAUAUCACCCUACUCCAAGACUCCUGAUAUCCCACGUGGCUCCAAACCCCAAAGUCCAUCCCUGACACCUGCCCCCGAUCCCCGGAGGGCUAAACCCGCUGAUCCUCAGACCAGAGCCUCCCAGCAGGCCCCGAGGCCCGAGGCCCACCCACCACCACUGACCCUCCCCUCGAAGGUUCCCGAGUCCGGGCCUCCCGACCCCCGCCCCCUCAGCGCUCUCACCGGCCUUGCCCUGCUUCCUCCCGGUGCUGGGCGGCGCAGGGGGCGGUGCGGGGCCGCCACCUCCCUCCAGCUUGUCCGGUGGGGGCGGCGCCGAGGCGGCCAUGGAGUGGGGGACUGGGGUCAGCGGCGGAGGGGGGCGGAGGCCCCCUCAGGCUGCACCAUCGCCGGGAAGGGGCCUCGGACAGCUCUGGCCCCCGAGCUGCAGCAAGCCGAAGACGCGGCAAGGGAGAAGCGCCUUCCUGGAGCGCAAACUGCGCGCUCGCUCCAGAUUCACCGCUCGCCGCCGGCGGCAGCAACCGGAACCGGAACUUGCCUCGGCCGCCACCACCUUGCGCGGCGGGGGGGGGAGGGGGGGAAGCACUGACUGGCCGGGACCUUCCGCCCGGGAGGGAGGAGGUCGUACACGCCACGACUCUAGCAGAGGGCGCUUUCCGCCGGAGGAGCAGCCCUGGCCAGCUAGCCCAGGGCCGGCAGCGCUCUUCGCCUGCCCCUGCUGCCGGGCCAUACCAUCCGGGCGGGGCCGCCGAGGAGCGCGGGCCGGGCCGGCCUCGGCGUCCGUCCGGCUGCCGCUGGCCUGGCCGUGGCCGGCCCUGCGGGGACCCGCACCCUCCGCAGACACACCCCCGGCCGGCUGGCCGCACCUCCCCGCCUGUCAACUCGGCAGAUCCCCGGCUUCCUGCACGCGGGCGUCGGACCGAGCACGGCCCGGCGAGGCCAGGUGGGGCUGCCCGCGACCUCCCGCCGCCCAGGCACCGCGGCAGACAGUAGGCCUUCCGAGGUCUCAGACGCCGAGGUAAAAGAAAUACGGACUUUAAUGGAGACUUUCCCUUUGGUAUAACUGAGACCCGUGGAAACAUCCAAACAAAAAGAGGCGGCGGCCAGAAUUUAACAGUGAUCCUCCCGGAUCCCCACGGCCUGGAGAGCCCGCAGGGCCGGUUUCCGUCGUCUCACCAGGGUCGCGCCUAGAAGGUGCUCCACACCUGGAGGUUUUAAGCUACCACUUCGUGACAUUGUACCAAUCAAUACUCAGCCACACUUCCCAGCCUCACGGUAAGGGACCCAAACUCAGUCCCAAGACUAAAUCAGUUUCUGCUGCAGGUCUUACAUUAAAAAAAAAAAUGCUGCCAGUCCUAGUUACCUCUGAGAAAAA